GGGAGCUUGCUCCUGAUGUUAGCGGCGGACGGGUGAGUAACACGUGGGUAACCUGCCUGUAAGACUGGGAUAACUCCGGGAAACCGGGGCUAAUACCGGAUGGUUGUUUGAACCGCAUGGUUCAAACAUAAAAGGUGGCUUCGGCUACCACUUACAGAUGGACCCGCGGCGCAUUAGCUAGUUGGUGAGGUAACGGCUCACCAAGGCAACGAUGCGUAGCCGACCUGAGAGGGUGAUCGGCCACACUGGGACUGAGACACGGCCCAGACUCCUACGGGAGGCAGCAGUAGGGAAUCUUCCGCAAUGGACGAAAGUCUGACGGAGCAACGCCGCGUGAGUGAUGAAGGUUUUCGGAUCGUAAAGCUCUGUUGUUAGGGAAGAACAAGUACCGUUCGAAUAGGGCGGUACCUUGACGGUACCUAACCAGAAAGCCACGGCUAACUACGUGCCAGCAGCCGCGGUAAUACGUAGGUGGCAAGCGUUGUCCGGAAUUAUUGGGC
rnacentral:rRNA from 1 species